CUUAGAAGCAGCCAUCCUUUAAAGAAAGCGUAACAGCUCACUCAUCAAGCGAUCCUGCGCCGAAAAUGUAACGGGGCUAAAGCCAUUUACCGAAAUUGUGGGCUCGUAAGAGCGGUAGCGGAGCGUUCCGUAAGCCUGCGAAGGUGCACUGCGAGGUGUGCUGGAGGUAUCGGAAGUGAGAAUGUUGACAUGAGUAGCGACAAAGCGGGUGAGAGACCCGCUCGCCGAAAAUCCAAGGGUUCCUGCGUAAAGCUAAUCUGCGCAGGGUUAGCCGGCCCCUAAGGCGAGGCCGAAAGGCGUAGCCGAUGGGAACCACGUUAAUAUUCGUGGGCCUGGGAGUGUGUGACGGAUUUCGAAAGUUGUCAUCCCUUAUCGGAUUGGGAUGGCGGCCUGGAAGUCCCUGGAAAUAGCCCUCCCAUAUAGACCGUACCCUAAACCGACACAGGUGGAUAGGUAGAGAAUACCAAGGCGCUUGAGAGAACUCGGGUGAAGGAACUAGGC
rnacentral:rRNA from 1 species